UCUUCUUCCUCCAACCUCCUUUAACCUAAAACGGUUAUCUCAUCCUGUAACCCUUACCGAUCAAUCGAUCCUCACUCUUCCCUGAAAAAUGACUCAACUCCUCUCAAAUCGCCUUCACGAGUCUACCUUUGACCAUCACACAUCAACAGGUGUGUGGCGUGUUGAUUCUAUCAGCCUUCACCCGUAUCGUAUUCUUCAUCGUAGCUGUUGCAACCGUUCUACACCAGCAAUCGGCUCUCCUGGAUUACUUCGACUACAAUCACCUACAUCACCUUCCAAUCGACCUCUCUUGUAAGUCUAAAGUGUAAGGUUUGAAGAUGCAUACCAAUUGCUCGAUGAAAUGCAUCAACCAAAAUACUUUCUAUUUCACAAGUCUUACUAGAUAAAUGGUUAUCUGUCAGUUUUUUUAUGAAACUUGUGUUUAGCAUGUGUGGGCCUCUAAUAAAAUAAACCUGGGAUUAUGACCUUACAUGGAAAAUUUUGUACAGACCCCAACUCUGACAUUGUCCGAGACUUAUUCUGUUUUAAAGCAUUCAAUAAAGUUUAGUAAUUGAACCUCCUGAUCCUAAAAUAACUUGCAUCAAGAGUGGAUGUCGACUGAAAUUUGUCUAAUUAGGAGGAGUAACUUGCCCGUGCUGAAAGAUCUCCAAUGCCUUAGAGUCUUCUAUAUUGUAACAACAUCAAAUGGAUAAAAAAAACUUGAGUAGCUGCUAUUCGGCACCCUAUAGGCUUUUGAAUUAACCAUAUAUUAAUUGAGAUUAAAAAUGUUUUACUUGGCUGAUUGUUAAUCAUUACCUUUGGAGUCUUCUGUAGACAUUGGAAAUAGUCAGGUGCAACCUAAGAAGUGUUUUAUGGAUCCAACAAUGGUUGUUUACUCCAGUGGUUAUAUUUUGACCCCUUAUUAUUAUGGAGGUAAUGAUGGGAUUACGAGUGAUUGGGCGUGACUACUCUAGAUAUGUAAAUCAUAAUGGAGUUAAUUUGGCUCAUCUAAGAACUUCAUUGACUUCACACCGUGGUCUAUACUCUGCUAAUGUCAUCGCUUCUAAAGGUGAGAUCACAACACCUGCAACUAUGGGCCAACAGCCUUUGACUGCUAGCACAAUUAAAGCAAUCUCUUUUAAAGGUUGAUCCCCUAUGUGUUGCUGCCAGACAAGAUGGGAAGAUAUUAGUCUCUAGUCUGUGGGUUGAUCACAGUUUUGAUGUCCGAGCGCCUAUGGAUACAACCUUGAUCAGUAAUAUACGUACCGGUGAGAGAUUUGAAUGGGAUUCCAGGUGCAACGUCACUAGUUAUAUGUUUGACAAGAUAUCAACGUGAAGAUCGAGAGGACAUUAUGACCAUGGUUGAAUUGAUGGGGGCACAAGUUUCUAAACCGCUGAUUGCAACAAAGGUGGCUUUUUUACCGAACAAGAUAUUAAGAGCCUACCAUGUUUACAGGUGAUGGCAAUUCCGACAACUAGGGUAUUGAAAAAACCACCCAAUCUCUUUUGGCUGAAGAGCUUUAAGUGAUGUGAAAAGAAGUUGAGUAUAGUCAGUUGGCUGAUGUAGCGACAAUAAAUAGUAAGUGAUGGGAACUAUGAAGUGCAAGUAUGACUAAUAAGAAAACCUUAACACGAUGAUUAUUUAACGCGCAUGAAGAUUGUGAAAGAGAUUCAUGAACAUAAUGAAGUUUUGAGUAUUUAUUCAUACACUUGUUAGUAUAUUUGGGUUAUGUGUUUGAUCAUUAGACUUAGAUCGACACUUAUUAGACAUUUGGGAUCUUUGGAAGAUUGAUUGAACUUUUAAUUGAAGUGGUUAUUUUAU
rnacentral:lncRNA from 1 species